rnacentral:rRNA from 1 species
CCUACGGGGGGCUGCAGUGGGGAAUUUUGCGCAAUGGGGGAAACCCUGACGCAGCAACGCCGCGUGCGGGAUGACGGCCUUCGGGUUGUAAACCGCUUUCAGCAGGGAAGAAGAUCGACGGUACCUGCAGAAGAAGCUCCGGCUAACUACGUGCCAGCAGCCGCGGUAAUACGUAGGGAGCGAGCGUUAUCCGGAUUCAUUGGGCGUAAAGAGCGCGUAGGCGGCCUUUCAAGCGGGAUCUCUAAUCCGAGGGCUCAACCCCCGGCCGGAUCCCGAACUGGGAGGCUCGAGUUCGGUAGAGGCAGGCGGAAUUCCCGGUGUAGCGGUGGAAUGCGCAGAUAUCGGGAAGAACACCGAUGGCGAAGGCAGCCUGCUGGGCCGAAACUGACGCUGAGGCGCGAAAGCUAGGGGAGCGAACAGGAUUAGAUACCCCGGUAGUC